rnacentral:tRNA from 1 species
GGGGGAUUAGCUCAAUUGGUAGAGCACUAGCUUUGCAAGCUAGGGGUCAAGGGUUCGAGUCCCUUAUUCUCCA